rnacentral:rRNA from 1 species
UUAAUCCUGUUUGCUACCCACGCUUUCGUACCUCAGCGUCAGUAUUGGUCCAGAAAGUUGCCUUCGCCAUUGAUGUUCCUUCUGAUAUCUACGCAUUUCACCGCUACGCCAGAAAUUCCACUUUCCUCUACCAUACUCUAGUUGACCAGUUUCAAAUGCAGUUCCCAGGUUAAGCCCGGGGCUUUCACAUCUGACUUAAUAAACCGCCUACGCACGCUUUACGCCCAGUAAUUCCGAUUAACGCUUGCACCCUCCGUAUUACCGCGGCUGCUGGCACGGAGUUAGCCGGUGCUUCUUCUAAAGUUAAUGUCAAGGCUAAUGGCUAUUAACCACUAGCUUUUCUUCACAAUUGAAAGUGCUUUACAACCCUCAGGCCUUCUUCACACACGCGGUAUUGCUGGAUCAGGGUUGCCCCCAUUGUCCAAUAUUCCCCACUGCUGCCUCCCGUAGGAGUCUGGUCCGUGUCUCAGUACCAGUGUGGGGGAUCUCCCUCUCAGGACCCCUACCUAUCGAUGUCAUGGUAAGCCGUUACCUUACCAUCUAACUAAUAGGACGCAUAGCCAUCUUUUACCGAUAAAUCUUUAAUUAAGUCUCGAUGCCGAGACUCAAUACCAUAAGGUAUUAAUCUUCAUUUCUAAAGGCUAUCCCUCUGUAAAAGGUAGGUUCUAUACGCGUUACGCACCCGUGCGCCGGUCGUCAUCUGUGCAAGCACAAUGUUACCCCUCGACUUGCAUGUGUUAAGCCUGCCGCUAGCGUUCAUCCUGAGCCAGGAUCAAACUCU